rnacentral:sRNA from 1 species
AUGGCUGUCGUCAGCUCGUGUCGUGAGAUGUUGGGUUAAGUCCCGCAACGAGCGCAACCCCCGUGUUCUGUUGCCACCCGGAGUUAAAUCCGGAGCACUCUGGACAGACUGCCUGGUUUUAACCAGGAGGAAGGUGGGGAUGACGUCAAGUCAGUAUGGCCCUUACGGCCAGGGCUGCACACGUACUACAAUGCCUGAUAUAAUGGGAAGCAAGACCGCGAGGUGGAGCAAAUCCUCAAAAUCAGGCCCAGUUCAGAUUGUAGGCUGCAACUCGCCUACAUGAAGGAGGAAUCGCUAGUAAUGCCGUAUCAGCUACGACGGCGUGAAUACGUUCCCAGGCCUUGUACACACCGCCCGUCACAUCAUGAAAGUCGAUUGUACCCGAAGUCGCUGCAUUAACCGCAAGGAGAUAGGCGCCGAAGGUAUGGUUGGUAAUUGGGAUGAAGUCGUAACAAGGUAGCCGUAGGGGAACCUGUGGCUGGAUCACCUCCUUUCUAAGGAGUACAUACCGUCCCCGAUGUCGGCCGUAUGUGUCGACCGGAGGCGGUCACUCCCAGUUAGUGCACUGGCUAGUUGGCCACGUUCCAGGAACUCGACAAGAUCGGGUCUCCUGGUCGGCGGAGUUCCGUCCUCUAUCCCGCUUUGAGGGAGCGCCACGUGCGCCACCCUUGACGGUCGGUCCCGCCCGUCGACGCAUUCGUGCGUUGACUUGGCGUCAUCGGCCGUAGGCCUCGGCCACUGGCCGGCUGUUCGAACUCGAACACCCGGUCAUGCCGUCGUCGACCCCAGGGGUCGACAGACGUCUCUUGAGAACUGCACAGCGAACACGAGCAUCUUCAUCAAUAAAUUGUCGAUGUAUUUGUAAUUUCCAAGCUACUAAGAGCCAACGGUGAAUGCCUUGGCGACUACUACCGAAGAAGGACGUGGGUGGCUGCGAAAAGCCACGGUGAGCCGUCUACCCGGCUAUGACCCGUGGAUGUCCGAAUGGGGAAACCCGG